rnacentral:rRNA from 1 species
UACGGAGGGGGCAAGCGUUGUUCGGAAUUACUGGGCGUAAAGGGCGCGCAGGCGGCUGCUCAAGUCAGGCGUGAAAGGCCUGGGCUCAACCCGGGAAUUGCGCUUGAGACUGGGCUGGCUUGAGUGCGGGAGAGGAUGGUGGAAUUCCAGGUGUAGCGGUGAAAUGCGUAGAUAUCUGGAGGAAUACCGGUGGCGAAGGCGGCGUUCUGGACCAUUACUGACACUGAACCGCGAAAGCUAGGGGAGCAAACGGG